rnacentral:rRNA from 1 species
ACUCCUACGGGAGGCAGCAGUGGGGAAUUUUGGACAAUGGGCGAAAGCCUGAUCCAGCAAUGCCGCGUGAGUGAAGAAGGACUUCGGGUUGUAAAGCUCUUUUGUCAGGGAAGAAACGGUGAAAGCUAAUAUCUUUUGCUAAUGACGGUACCUGAAGAAUAAGCACCGGCUAACUACGUGCCAGCAGCCGCGGUAAUACGUAGGGUGCAAGCGUUAAUCGGAAUUACUGGGCGUAAAGCGUGCGCAGGCGGUUUUGUAAGUCUGAUGUGAAAUCCCCGGGCUCAACCUGGGAAUUGCAUUGGAGACUGCAAGGCUAGAAUCUGGCAGAGGGGGGUAGAAUUCCACGUGUAGCAGUGAAAUGCGUAGAUAUGUGGAGGAACACCGAUGGCGAAGGCAGCCCCCUGGGUCAAGAUUGACGCUCAUGCACGAAAGCGUGGCGAGCAAACAGGAUUAGAAACCCUAGUAGUCC